rnacentral:rRNA from 1 species
GUGCCAGCCGCCGCGGUAAGACAGAGGGUGCAAACGUUGUUCGGAAUUACUGGGCGUAAAGCGUGUGUAGGUGGCUGCGAAAGUCGGAUGUGAAAGCCCUGGGCUCAACUCAGGAAGUGCACCCGAUACUGCGUAGCUCGAGUACCGGAGAGGUUGGUAGAAUUCUCGGUGUAGAGGUGAAAUUCGUAGAUAUCGAGAGGAAUACCUGUGGCGAAGGCGGCCAACUGGACGAGUACUGACACUGAGACACGAAAGCGUGGGGAGCAAACAGGAUUAGAUACCCGUGUAGUCC